rnacentral:rRNA from 1 species
CCUACGGGUGGCAGCAGUGGGGAAUAUUGGACAAUGGGGGCAACCCUGAUCCAGCCAUGCCGCGUGUGUGAAGAAGGCCCUCGGGUUGUAAAGCACUUUCAGUGAGGAAGAACGCCUGGUGGUUAAUACCCAUCAGGAAAGACAUCACUCACAGAAGAAGCACCGGCUAACUCCGUGCCAGCAGCCGCGGUAAUACGGAGGGUGCGAGCGUUAAUCGGAAUUACUGGGCGUAAAGCGCGCGUAGGUGGCUUGAUAAGCCGGUUGUGAAAGCCCCGGGCUCAACCUGGGAACGGCAUCCGGAACUGUCAAGCUAGAGUGCAGGAGAGGAAGGUAGAAUUCCCGGUGUAGCGGUGAAAUGCGUAGAGAUCGGGAGGAAUACCAGUGGCGAAGGCGGCCCUCUGGACUGACACUGACACUGAGGUGCGAAAGCGUGGGUAGCAAACAGGAUUAGAUACCCGUGUAGUC